UACGGAGGGGGCUAGCGUUGUUCGGAAUUACUGGGCGUAAAGCGCGCGUAGGCGGUGUGUCAAGUCAGGCGUGAAAGCCCCGGGCUCAACCUGGGAACCGCGCUUGAGACUGGCACGCUAGAGUUCGGGAGAGGAUGGUGGAAUUCCCAGUGUAGAGGUGAAAUGCGUAGAUAUCAGGAGGAACACCGGUGGCGAAGGCGGCCCUCUGGACGGAUACUGACGCUGAGACGCGAAAGCGUGGGGAGCAAACAGG
rnacentral:rRNA from 1 species